UUAAGGAAGUAAGGGUGCACGGCGGAUGCCUUGGCACUGGGAGCCGAUGAAGGACGCGACUAACGGCGAAACGCUGCGGGGAGCUGUAAGUAAGCAAAGAUCCGCAGGUGUCCGAAUGGGGCAACCCACCGACUUGAAGGGUCGGUACCAUGCGGUGAAUAAAUAGCCGCAUGGGGGGAACCCGGGGAACUGAAACAUCUUAGUACCCGGAGGAAAAGAAAGCAACAGCGAUUCCCUAAGUAGAGGCGAUCGAACGGGGAACAGCCCGUUACCAUAAGGAGUUACAAAAUCUCGGCAUAGUCGAACCGGCUUGGAAAACCGGGCGAAACAAGGUGACAGCCCUGUAGACGAAAUGCCGGGAUCUCCGGUAACAAAGAGUAGGGCGGGACACGUGGAAUCCUGUCUGAAGAUGCGAGGACCAUCUCGUAAGGCUAAAUACUCCCCAGUGACCGAUAGUGAACCAGUACCGUGAGGGAAAGGUGAAAAGAACCCCUGGCGGGGAGUGAAAGAGAACCUGAAACCGUGCACUUACAAUUAGUCAGAGCCCGUUAACGGGUGAUGGCGUGCCUUUUGUAGAAUGAACCGGCGAGUUACGACAAUUUGCGAGGUUAAGCUUUAAGGAGCGGAGCCGCAGCGAAAGCGAGUCUUAAUAGGGCGAAUCAGUAGAUUGUCGUAGACCCGAAACCGGGUGAUCUAGCCAUGAGCAGGUUGAAGCUUGGGUAAAACCAGGUGGAGGACCGAACCGGGGUCUGUUGCAAUAGACUCGGAUGACUUGUGGCUAGCGGUGAAACGCCAAACGAACCCGGAGAUAGCUGGUUCUCCCCGAAAUAGCUUUAGGGCUAGCGUCGCAAUGCAAGUUUCAUGAAGGUAGAGCACUGAAUGCGUGAGGGCCACACCUCGUGGUACCGAUCCCAAUCAAACUCCGAAUGUCAUGAAACAUGUGCGGCAGUCAGACUACGAGUGAUAAGAUCCGUGGUCGAGAGGGAAACAGCCCAGACCGCCAGUUAAGGUCCCGAAAUCCAUGCUAAGUGGGAAAGGAUGUGGAGUUGUUCAGACAACUAGGAGGUUGGCUUAGAAGCAGCCACCCUUUAAAGAGUGCGUAAUAGCUCACUAGUCGAAUGAUUCUGCGCCGAAAAUGUAACGGGGCUAAGCAUGGUACCGAAACUGCGGAACUACAUAUGUGGUUGGUAGGGGAGCGUGCUUAAUGCGCUGAAGGCGGACCGUGAGGACCGUUGGAGCGUUAAGCAGUGAGAAUGCCGGUGUGAGUAACGAAAAGAUGGGUGAGAAUCCCAUCCGUCGAAAGCCUAAGGUUUCCAGAGGAAGGUUCGUCCGCUCUGGGUUAGUCGGGACCUAAGGCCAGGCUGAAAAGCGUAACCGAUGGACAACAGGUUAAUAUUCCUGUACCGCCCGGUUAACUGAAGGAAUGACGAAGAAGGCUAGCCGGAGCUGCUGAGUGGAUUGCAGUUCAAGCGCAAAGGCGGGCAUGUAGGCAAAUCCGCAUGCUUAAACGCUGAAGCGUGACGACGCAAGUUUGGUGAAGCCAGGCUUCCGAGAAAAGUUUCUAGGGUUAAUUAACCGGGUGCCCGUACCGCAAACGGACACACGUAGGCGAGGAGAGAAUCCACAGACGCGCGAGAAAACUCUUGUCAAGGAACUCGGCAAAAUUGCCCCGUAACUUCGGGAUAAGGGGAGCUCUUCGCAAGAAGAGCCGCAGAGAAUAGGCCCAAGCGACUGUUUACCAAAAACACAGGUCUCUGCUAAACCGCAAGGUGAAGUAUAGGGGCUGACGCCUGCCCAGUGCUGGAAGGUUAAGAGGAGGUGUUAGGAGCAAUCCGAAGCACUGAAUUGAAGCCCCAGUAAACGGCGGCCGUAACUAUAACGGUCCUAAGGUAGCGAAAUUCCUUGUCGGGUAAGUUCCGACCCGCACGAA
rnacentral:rRNA from 1 species